AGAGAAAAUUGAGAGCAAUUUUUCAGAGUGAUUGUAAUAUUUCUUCCAUUAGUGAAAGAUCUGCAGCAGCCCGUGGACGUAGGCAAUUUUGUGCCGAACCACGUAAAUCUUGCGUGUCCCCUAAUUUUGAGCAUUUUAUUUUUCGCUUCUCUCUCAAAUCUGGCACUAGGGGAAUCCGAGUAAUUUCCCAACAUUGCAGUCAUUGAUGCUUGUUACAUCCUUGAACCCUAAAAUUGGGUACGAUAAGGCUGCAGCUGUCGCAAAGAAUGCACAUAAAGAAGGGACAACCCUGAAGGUAAGCUGGAGGCUGCAUUGAAGCUUGGAGUCCUUACCGCGGAAGAACUAGAGGAGCUUGUGGUACCACAGAAAAUGAUUGGUCCAUCUGACUAAUAACUCAAUUGGGAAAUAUAUGGAAAUUAUUGUUGAAAAUAAUAAAUAAAUGAUGGCUAGUUUGCACUUUUAAACUCAUAGCUGAAUUCAAGGUCCCGGCUGAGCAAGAGGCGUGCUAAUAAUAAAGCCUCCAUUUUGUUUUGGUUUGUAAUUAUCUUAUAAUCAUUUCUCUAAACUAUUUUUUGGCCCUGUAAAGGCUACUGUAUUUUGACGCUGUUCUAUGAGAGGCAAGUUGGCGUUCCAACGGCGAGUCUAUUUUGACUGGGAAAUUUUAUUAUUCCAUGGAGGGUGUCAUG